rnacentral:rRNA from 1 species
UACGUAGGGUGCGAGCGUUGUCCGGAAUUAUUGGGCGUAAAGAGCGUGUAGGCGGCUUUACAGGUCCGUUGUGAAAACUCGAGGCUCAACCUCGAGACGUCGAUGGAAACCAUCUGGCUAGAGUCCGGAAGAGGAGAGUGGAAUUCCUGGUGUAGCGGUGAAAUGCGCAGAUAUCAGGAAGAACACCCGUGGCGAAGGCGGCUCUCUGGUACGUGACUGACGCUGAGACGCGAAAGCGUGGGGAGCAAACAGG